rnacentral:lncRNA from 1 species
CCACGUUCCACAAAAUAAUGAUAUGACAAUGUUGCAAGUGUUCACAUUGACGGACAAGUUUCCUGUUCAAACUGUCUCGGAAAAGAAGGACUCAAAAUCCAUCUAUGCAGGAAUCAAACCUUGCCAACAGAUUUAAAGUGAAUCUAUGAAAGUAAAUAAUUGGACAUGAA